CCUACGGGCGGCAGCAGUGAGGAAUAUUGGUCAAUGGACGGAAGUCUGAACCAGCCAUGCCGCGUGCAGGAAGACGGCGCUAUGAGUUGUAAACUGCUUUUGUCCAAGGGUAAACCUGAAUACGUGUAUUCAGCUGAAAGUACUGUACGAAUAAGGAUCGGCUAACUCCGUGCCAGCAGCCGCGGUAAUACGGAGGAUCCAAGCGUUAUCCGGAUUUAUUGGGUUUAAAGGGUGCGUAGGCGGAUCGUUACGUUAGCGGUAAAAGGUCCGGGCUUAACCCGGGAACUGCCUCUAAUACUGUUGAUCUAGAGAGUAGAUGCGGUAGGCGGAAUGUAUGGUGUAGCGGUGAAAUGCUUAGAGAUCAUACAGAACACCGAUUGCGAAGGCAGCUUACCAAUCUAUAUCUGACGUUGAGGCACGAAAGCGUGGGGAGCAAACAGGAUUAGAUACCCCUGUAGUC
rnacentral:rRNA from 1 species